AAAACAGAGACUGCGAACAUUUUUGCAGGGAAAGAAGUGCAUCAACAGCAAAAAGAACACCUUCCUUAACAAAUGAGUCCAAGAAAAUAUGAGAGAGCUUCUCUAAUAGCUUAUCAACAAUUUGAAGGGCUAAUAUCAGAACAUGAGGAUCUCUGCGAGUAAAAACUCCUGCUAAGAAGCUUGAAAUGUUAGUAUUUUGAAGAAAUUCAAG
rnacentral:misc_RNA from 1 species